rnacentral:lncRNA from 1 species
UACGAUAGACAUUUCGCAGACAGCAAAUGAAAGACGUGUUUCUUCAAAUUCCACCAGAUCACUUAUCCAUGCAUCGACGGGGCAUGCUAUUUUAGGAGAUUGAAUAACUCCAGAUCGCAUGACGUUAGGUUGGCAGGAGGAACUGAUACUUUCUGAGCCGCUUUCUGUUUUGGGUUGUCCCAACGAGCUUUGUUCUGAAAACGCAUUAUUAGCAGACGAUUCAUUUUGCUGCGAAUUGUUAUCAACUUUGGGAGAGGAACUUGCUUCCAAAUCUAUGUGGCCAUCUACAGGUGGUGGUGGAUCAUGUUCCUCCAAAUUGCUGCUCCCUUGUGCGGUGGAAGGCGCUUGUUGUUGAACAAUGCAGGGAACAAUGACUUGUUGUUGACCGCUCACGCUAUCCUGGAAAUUCUCGCCAGCUCCGUGAGAUGUGCUUGGCUCCGAACUUUCGCUCCCUUGUGCGAUUAAACCAGGUGUUUGUUGCUGAACAAAGCUGGGGGUGGGAACACUGACUUGCUGUUGACCACUAGCACUUGGGCCUCCCAGUGUUUUGAAGUAUGUCUCAACUUCAAUACCAAAGACAUUGUCAGUGAGCAAAUUUUCCCACUUGUCUAACUUUGGGACUUAGCUGAGGUCUACAUUGCCGUAAAGUUUGGCGUGUACAUCAUGGACCAAUUGAAAGUCCUUUCGCAACUCCUUGAGUUCCUUUUCUAUACGUUGUUUGGUUUGGUCCUAAUCUGUAAUAAAUUUUCAGACCCUAUUUAUUGUACACAUGACUUUACCUCUGAGUUGCUUUCUCUUAUUUUUCAGCAUUAAGGAAGGGUCCUCUGUUCCCACUGAACUUGACUUAGUGCCUUCCGAGGUUCCAGUGGCAUGACAGGAUGUAAUAACAUCUUUACCAUCGGACAUAGUUCCUUGACUUGUUUGUUCCUAAUUACCAAAGACGGAUACCUCCUUGUUGCCUAUAGGUCAGCUCUUCUACUUGGACAAGGCUUGUUGUUCUUCAGAAAUUUUGGUGCAGAAGGUGACAAAUGUAUCAAGCCACCAGAGAUUUCUUUAAUCUUUAUUGAUUACUAGAUUCUGAAGAGUGGAUCUCUGUGGCUUGGGAGAACUAAUACGACGAAGCUUGAAUGCAAUUGAAUGUGCGCAAUACCGAUGCUGAUCACAACUGAAAUUGAAACCUUAAAUUCUAGUCCUGAAACGAACUAUUCAUGAGCUGUCAAAUAAAGGAAAACGAACUAUUCAUGAGCUGUCAUAUACAGGAAACCACAAUCACUAAACUAUUUAAGACCACAGAGAAACAUAGAAAAAUAAUCACGCAUUAUUCAAAGUCACGCAUUCUUCGUAAAUCACAGACUGUUCGUGUUCAUGUUCAUAAAUCACGCAGCAAAAGUAGCACAGUUCAUAACACCCUGAAAAGUGCUGAAUUAGCAAAAUAAAACUCUUUGCAGUAUCUUGAAUUGAAACACUCUGAUCGCAGUAUUGAUGGUUGAGUCAAAUGGAAUUUGAUAAAUAGCUACCCAGUCUAAGGUUUUGUCAGGAAUAAGACCUACAAAUUUGACAUUGCUUGUUGGUUCUAUUGUUCUCAUAGUCAGAAGAUGUUUGUAAAUUUUUUACUACAGUGUAGUUAAAGCUUUAAUUCCUACAGCAGUAUUAUCAUUCAGUUUGACAAAAAUUGGAUCCGAGUGCAAGUUUCUUACUGGUUUCACUGACAAAAUGUGAUUCCUCAGAAAUAAAGAUUGCUAAAUGAUUUUUUGAAACUUUCUCUGAAUAUUCCCUACCAAGCACUGUUGCAAAAAUAACAAUUAAAAAGAUAGGUCACCAUAUAUACUUGCAAAAGAGAUAUUCAGAUACAGAUACGAAGGGCCAAUUUUACCCCAUUUGUACCUAAUCACACGCAUUAUUUUCUCAGUUUACAUUACAUUUUGCGCUAGCUGGAAGUGAAAUUUUUAAUUAAAAAAAACUCUUAUUAAAAAAAACUUGCCAAGUAGAAGGUCUGGAGCAUAUGGAGCAAUUUUUUUUUAAGAAUUUUUAACUCAAAGGUGAUAAAUUGUAAACCAAAAUUAUGUAAUAACAAAUAAUUGAUAGGUCAUCAUGCUUGUUAAAGAGAAAACGAGCAUUUAUUUUGCUGUUGGGCUUUAAGGUUGAAGGAAAUGUCUCAAUGUUGUGUAUGCGCACAUGCUCAUGUACACCCACUAAUGAGGUACCUUAACUAACAUGUGCUACUCACCAGGGAGGGAGUCAAUAAUUCCAAAAGGUAAUUAGCAGUUGUUAGCUCUCUCUACUUCAACCCAUUAAAUCCCACAAAGUUCCUUGACUCUGCUAACAUAUCGUUAAUUAUUGAAAUUCUCAUCUUUAUCAAAUUUGGGUGAUAAAAAUGAUUUGUUCUGAAUGCAGAUGAAUUUAUUUUUUUCAAAUUUAUUAGCUAUCUUAACUCCCCAUCUAGGGUUUUGUUCUCCUACUGCAACAAGGAAGCCCAAGACUUAAGGCAUUUCUUAUAGAAACAGGGAAUGAUAUUGAAAGCUUACAAACAGGAAUCUAGUAUAUGCUUUCAAGAAUGGCCUUCAUCAGCAGCAUAUCUUUUAAAAGAAAAAAUUCAAUUCUUUAAGCUUCAAUGACAGCUUACAAGUGAGUCAUUUUUAACCUCUCCCUUCCCCUCCCUUCCAAAUUUUGUUAAUAAUUAUUACCAACAUUUAACAUUUUUUUGGUUACAUUUCAUUUACAACUUUUUCGAAUAAGUGGUUUUGGUUAAGUUAUAUAUGAAUUUUAAGAUGAUGAGAGACCAAAAGAUUCCCCAGGGUGGUGAGGUUUGCCUUUUCCAUUGAGCCAACAAUAAUUAUCUUCACAGAUUUGAUUUUAAGUUUCUUAAAGCCAUUUGUAGAUCCCUAAUAUUUUUGGCUAUUCUGACAGUUAGGCCUGGUUCAAACGUCGAACUUUACAUGUGCCCAACCUAAUACCAAUUUGGGUCGACCCAAAUAAUUAAGUUCGGCAGUUGAUUCAAACGUCGAACCUUAUUUAGUCAAACUUAAUUGCAAAGAUAAAAGAGACACUAAUGCAAAUGGCGGUUAUUGCUGACCAAAGUGGCAGAAACAGUGUGGGAAAGACGAAUUGUGGAAAUGAAGAGCUUGCUUUUCUUGUAAGUGCGAUCAAGGAGGGUAGCACAAGUCAAAGAAAGCGACUCCAGAUGCAGUUAGCCUUUGACAACCAAAGACGAUUUUUAAAUUUGGUUUGCCUUCUAUUAUUGCUUAUUCCCAAAGGAACAUCACAGUUCAACUGUGACGAGUCUCGUCCAGUUCGAUUCGUUCCUGUCGUUGGUUUCUUCAAGAUUCAUUUAUGUUGUCAUUUUCUCUCAAAAACAUGACUCGCAGUAUGCCACCAGACUGCCUGCUCUCCAACCCGCUACACUCUUGUCGCUUUCAAAUACAGAACAGGGCAAGCAGAAGUGGUUUAUGCACAUCAAGUGAGUAUAUUUUGUGCUCUCGAAGCACGAGGAACACAUAUCUUCCCGCUCUUCCUGCCAUUUUGUUCCAAAAGAUCAAAACAAGCUGUGUACGCAUGACAAAUGGGAAACAUGCAGAACACUGGGUAAAAAUUAAUUUAUUUAAUAUAUUUGUAAUGUAUGCAUCAGGUUCGGUACAUGAAAAGUUCGAUGCUUGAAUCGGAGUUGCUCCGUAGUCGAACUGACCUACUGUCCAUGUUGAAUUUUAUUCUCGGGUCGACCCAAAUAACAUGAGUCGAACUUAAUUGAUUCAAACGUCGAUCUCGUCAUGUACUUAAUUGGGGCUAUUAGGUUCGGCUCAUGAAAAGUUUGACGUUUGAACCAGGCCUUAAGGAAUCUUAAGAAUGCUGUGUAUGUUGGCAUCACCCUGUGAUGGACCCAGUUGUAAGAUGUCACUUUUUGCAACAUAGGUUUGAGGUCAGAGCAACUGCCAAAAAGAUUAAGUUAAUUCCAGCAUUAAUUUAUGUCCCUCAAAAACAUAGUUAAAUCAUCUGCAAAACUUAAGUAAGUUUAAUUUCUUUGUCAUCGACCUCUAUUCCUUUUAUUUCUGUAUUAUUACGCACAGAUGUUGGCAGGACCUCUAGAAAGAGAAUAAACAGGUUGCUCAGGCAGUGGAACCCACAGCACCUCCCCAAACUGUAUUUGACCCUAGACAGGGACCAUAUAAUGGACCACUGCCUCAUAUUUACCCUAAUCUGUACGACCCUGGAGCCCCCCUUCAUGAUCCUAGUUUACCUGGUAGCACAGAGCACAGCCCGCCACCCCCCUAUGAAGAAAGUUUAUAUGCGUUACCUGUAGAAGAGAAAUCAAAAUGAGUCAAUUCCUGGCUAGAAUGGACAAAAGGGUUUAGAUGGCAUCUUGAAGUUGCCAUACAUUUGGAUUAGUAACAGAUGUUGAAGAUUUAGUACACAAUGGUCAGUGAACUCUGGAAUACAGUGAAACCUGUAUUAAGCGGACCCCAUAUUAAUCGGACACCCUCUAUUAAGUAAACACCAGCUGAAGUCUCAACAUUUUCUUCCCACAUUCACUGUAAAAUAAACCUGCACCUCUGUUAAGCGGACGUAGACGCCGAUAUUAAGCUAUUUUGUUGCACAAAACUUGCAUUAAGCUGACACUUCAAGAGGUUUUUACUUCUAAAGGUCUAGCUGAGACCCCUUUAACAUUGUUCAGCGAUAUCAUUUUAAAGCUAAAUGAUUA